UGGGGAAUUUUGGACAAUGGGCGAAAGCCUGAUCCAGCAAUGCCGCGUGUGUGAAGAAGGCCUUCGGGUUGUAAAGCACUUUUGUCCGGAAAGAAAUCCUUGGCUCUAAUACAGUCGGGGGAUGACGGUACCGGAAGAAUAAGCACCGGCUAACUACGUGCCAGCAGCCGCGGUAAUACGUAGGGUGCAAGCGUUAAUCGGAAUUACUGGGCGUAAAGCGUGCGCAGGCGGUUUGCUAAGACCGAUGUGAAAUCCCCGGGCUCAACCUGGGAACUGCAUUGGUGACUGGCAGGCUAGAGUAUGGCAGAGGGGGGUAGAAUUCCACGUGUAGCAGUGAAAAUGCGUAGAGAUGUGGAGGAAUACCGAUGGCGAAGGCAGCCCCCUGGGCCAAUACUGACGCUCAUGCACGAAAAGCGUGGGGAGCAAAACAGGAUUAGAUACCCUGGUAGUCCACGCCCUAAAACGAUGUCAACUAGUUGUUGGGGGAACUUCAUUUUCCUUAGUAACGUAGCUAACGCGUGAAGUUGACCGCCUGGGGAGUACGGUCGCAAGAUUAAAACUCAAAGGAAUUG
rnacentral:rRNA from 1 species